UUAAAAUAAAAAGAUAGAGAAUAAACUAGUCAAAGAAUCAUGCACAUUGUUGCCAUCAUCACUUGAUGUUAGUGCAGGUGGUAAAACUAAGGAUGUUCAAGGAGACCUGCCAAAUUUCCCACUUAGUUUUACCUUGUAUAUCACAUAUUUUCCCGCUCCAGAUGUAACUUGGAAGUGGGUAACUGAUCCUUUAAUUUUAUUUCUUUAAUUAUUUUUUCUCUUACUUGAAAAUUCUUGAAUUUCUAAUAAUAAUAAAAAAAUUGUGAUGCUGUGAAAUCAUUCCUUGCUUGAAAAGAAAAAUGCUCAGGCAUUUUUUUUUGGGUGUAGCACUCCUUGCUUUAAGGAAUACUCAAUGCUUCUUUGUGACUGGCACUUGUGGUUGUAGUUUUGAUAGUUUUUCAUGAGGGCCUCUUUGUUGUCUUUGUUGUUCUCUGUUUGUAGUUUUAUGUCUUAUAUGUACUAUCUUAGUCUGAGGCUGUCUAGACUGUAAUACAGUGUAGGUGAUUUCUUAUCAUCUUUUUUUAAUACAAUCUUGUUUGGUUGGGAUUGAAAUGAUAGUGUUUAUGUGAGAAUAGAAAUAGAAUGGGAAAGAAAUAUCAAUUCUUUUGUUUGGUUGAAAUUUUGUUUGGAAUGGCAUGGACUAACAUUACUUUGACCAAAAUAUCCAUAUGCAACUAUAACUAUCAUGUAAUAUGAUUUUGUAAGCUGAGUAGACUAAAUAUUAAAAUUAUAUUUUUGAGUAAUUAAUAAAAAAAAUAUUUUGUUGUA